AGCUCAGUUGGUAGAGCAUGGCACUUGCAAUGCUAAGAAAGUGGGUUUGAUUCCCGG
rnacentral:tRNA from 1 species